GUGGUAGUAAUGCCUCGUCUUAAAUAUCUUGCAACAAUAGUGAGUAACAUUAUAAUUUGAUCCGUUCGGCAACGGUUUGUUGAAUUAAAUGAUUUUUGAAAGCAAUUUUGACAGAUUUAUAUUUUUUUAGAACGUCUGGGUUUGCUUAGUGGCCAGUUGUUAGGAGUUUAAAAGUUACUGGCCAUUUGGUUCAUUGGACCUUUUUACUCGAGUACAAACCUAUUUCCCGUAGCUUUCAAUUUAUUAACCGACUUUAUAAUGUUAGACUAAUAUUAUCCUGUGACUUAUUUAUUGUUCUGUAUGUUAUAUUCUCUUUUCAUACAUUAAGGAACUAUACUAUAUUUACCGAAGUAUACUAAAUCAUUUUAGUUUUAUACGGACAACACUACCUCUACUGUGAGGACAACACUAAAAAGAGAUUUUGACAGAUAGAGCGCGCGUUUCCGAUGCGCUUCCUUCGUGGACUGAUAAACUAUGUUUUCUUACGAUUGAUAUUAAAUUGUGUUUUAAAAGUGAAUACAAGAAGUUAUUGUGAUACAAGUUGACGUUUUAUUUCUGAUUAAGGCUAGGAGAUCAUACCCUAGCUUAUAUCAGAAGCGGGAAGAACAGAAAACGCCUAAUUACCAAUGGGGCGCGAAUGCUCCGAAUACAAUAAAAUUAAUGAUCACGCCACACUAUGCGAAACACUUAAACGAAGACGAGAUGACCACAGCACUGAUUGCUCAACCGCAAUAAUGUAUCAAGGACUUAUCUACUCAAGGAAAACAAAGCGACAUGGUCAACAACUUGUGGAACCUAUAAUGACGACGACCAGACAAGAUUCUUGUAUGUAGAUUACUGCUUGACACACACUACGCCUGAUGGCGAUUAGACACCUUCUCCGCCGCGAUGCAACAGGUACCCGAGACAUUGGACAAUCAGGUAUAAGCAUUAAUAUUUUUUUUUCUCAUUCCAAUUAAUCCAUGGAAUAGAAAACAAUCAUUUAAUUGCCCAAACAUGUGCAUACACACGCAGGUGCAUGCAUGUAGGAUAAUACAAUUAUUAAAGGUAUGUGCUUAAAACAUGUUUGCCACUUGUCAAUACAAAUAUAAAACCAGAAACAUUUAGCUCUAUAUACUAAAAACUAUUUGAGCUGACAUUUCAGAGCUUCGGUACUGAGUUUUCUCUAGGUUAUAGAUAUUUUGUUGUACAUAAUGGGUGCCAUUCAAAAUAUAAUUUAGCACAUAAGUGCAGUUUUACAUGGAUGUGAACAGAGUUUGCUAUUGAUCCAUUUGAUGCAUGCAUUUUUAAGGUGAGUAAAUGUACAACAAUAUAUUUCAUUAGACAUCCAUAAACCAGCUGGGAACAUGACAGAUACUCUGAGGUAAACAUUUAUAUCCUGAGUAAUUAUGUAUGGUGUUAUUUUUGCUACACAUUGAAUACAUAAAAUAUUCAUGAGAAAAGAGUAAAUAAAGCAAGUAAAGCUAAUUGCAUAGUUCAUGGGGAUGAUGGCCAAACGAUUUGGUGUUAAUGCAUUAUUUACAUGCAUUACUGAAAUAGACAAAGGAAGUACCUAUAAAAAUAAGUAAAUAGGAUAUAACAAUAGGAUAUUCAUGAUAUAAAGCCAAUAUUACAAUAAUUAAAAUUGAAAUAAUCAUAAUCACUUACAAAUAGAGGUAGAAAAUAAAGUGGUUAAUUGACAACCAACAAAAACCGUGCGACACAGCUCUUGACUAUUCUAUGUACAUCCAAAGCGGUGAUAACAGGUAUUAAUAAUGGAUAAUCAAAUACUUUUAAGUACUAUAAACACUAAACUGGUUUUUAUUAAUAAAGUAACUAUGAAACUAAAUGCUUCAAGCCAGUAUGUUUCAGACAGUAAGUAUGUUUUACCAAUAUCUUGGUACUGCCAAUAGCAUACAUCAUUGUUAAGUAAAACUUCAUUCCAAGCAAAUAUCAUUGCUUGUUAUUAUUUUAAAGAGUAUCUAAAGUAAAAAUUAUAAAAAUGGUAAUCUUUUUAAAUGAUCUUUUCCAUAUUAUUAACUGUAAAUUGCCUCACCUAGAAAAAGUUAAACUGCUUAUUCUAUCUGAAUGUUGGAUGAUAUUACAGCUUACAGGUACAUUAUAGGACUGUAACACAUUAAGGAUAGUUUAAUCACAGUAAAGAUGCAGCAAUUGUAGUAAAUAUUAUUUACUUAAAGGAUUUUACAGACUGAAGCAUAAUAAAUAAAUAUAAAUCAGUAGUGUCAAUUAAUCAGAAGAAAAUAUAACUCAGUAGUGUCAGUAAUCUGAGUAGCCAGAUCAGAUAUGUUCUUUUUGAAAGAUUUCAUUUUAAUUUGGAAUCCACCACUUGAUGCUGACACCAGUUUUCUCAACCAUUAAAAAUAACCCGAAGUGCUUAAAGAUAUGUAUACUAGAAUCAAAUAAAUACAAAAUAAAGAAAUUUCAGCUUUGAAAUCUGAAUCGAAAGCAGUCUAUAUAUUAUUAACUUAAUAAAUGAAUAUGGCAAUUGGGUCAAUAAGAGAUAGGUUUGAGUUGGAACAAAACAACAUUAGUUAUACAUAAAAUUGUCUGAUACUACACAGGAGCUAUACCAUCAGAAUACAUUAUACCAUACUGAAAAAGAAGUAUGUGAGACGGUUAAAGAAUAAAAGACUAGGCAAUUAAUAAGUAAUUGUCCUAGCCCAUUAAAAAGUUGAAUACAUACCAGGGCACUCAGUAAAACAUAUAGAUUAUUAUAAAUAAACUGAACCUGAACUUUUAUGGAUGGUAACGAUACGAGUUAACAUUUCUCUCUAUACUCUCUUUAUGACAGGAAAUCUUGUAAUUUCCUGGGAGGUAAGACAUUUUAUUCUGAGACUAAAUUUCAGCACAUAUUGUAUGUUAGACCUUCUCUCACAGAAAAUUACAUGUACAGUUUAUGAUGAUUUUCUUGAUUGAUGUUGUGAGUCUAUUCUGACCACUUAUAAAAUAGGAACCAAGAUUGUGGAGGAUCAGAGGAGUGAAUUCAGUGGGGUGUCAACAACAUCUUUAACAAGUCAGUAAGUACAACCACAAGUGUUUUACAGUCAACAACUAAGAAAGAGCAUUGCUUAGUAUUGACUGAUAAAGAACAAUUUAUAUGGUGAUUGGAACUUAUAUUUAAAGAUGAUGACAUCUGGUUAUGUUUAUAUUCAUAUAUAUUUAUUUGCAUUCCAUAAUGUUACAAUAGAUGUUGAAGAGGCUUAAAACUAAGUAGGUACCAUUAUAGGCCCUGUUAGGGCACAGCUAAAGAAGGCAAUACUUUAAGGCACCAUAAAUAAAGAACCAUGAGUUAAACUAGGCUCAGGGGUACUUUGUUGUCACUUUGUUUGUAUUAAAAUUGUUUCUACGGCACCACCUUCAAUUCUGCUUUCGUAUCCCUCAUCAGGGAUAUAGUUCCGAAGGAGCAGAAAGCUUUUCCACUCACGCUUUACAACUUGUAGAGUUAUAAUUUGAUUAAAUGGUAUUAACUAAAAAGAAAAGCUUAAAUUGAGAAGUGUAGUGAUUUUAAUGAAUUGUUAAUUAAGAAACAAUACCAGACGAAGAAAAUUGAAUGAAUAAAUUAAAGAUUUGUACAAUUUUUACCUUGAUUAUCUGUUAUUAAUUCUUACGAGCCUCUGUAUUGAGAUGUGAAAUGAAUUGAAAGAUUCAUACUAAUUCAGUUUGGUUGUAUUGUUGAAUUAUUGAAAUAAGAUUACAUAAAUAAACUUUUGAUAAGUUCAUAGGUUGGAAGGUAUGCACUAUGUACUGUUUUAGCUGGUUCUAUUGUUUGUUGCUGAAAACAAACGACUCGAGGAAGAAAAUGGAUAUUAUGUAUUUAUUAUAUUUUAACCACUACAAUAAGGGAUUAACAGAAACAAUUGUAAUGUUGUAACAAUUGUAACUUGUAGUGGUCUGAUUGAGUUUGAUUGUGUUGUUAAAUAAUAAUAAUAGAAGACAUGUAUUGAUUUAGUUCAACCAUAGGCAUUGCUCUAAUACAAAUAAGAGAUGGACAGAGAAAAAUGUAAUUACUUGUACAUUUCUCGUUUUAUUAUGUUGUUAAUUAUUAAAAACUAGCGACUGGAAUGCUAAUAAAGAAUUGAGUAUUGAAUAGACAAGAUAUAUUGUACUAGUUGUGAGAUAACGAAUAUAAAUAAGAGAUGGGCAGAGAAACUGACUAAAGAAUUCGUAUGUAGGUAUACAUAUAUAUUGUAGUCAGAGAUAGAAGAUGUAAUAAAUUGAGAGAUUUGUAUAUUGUCCAGUUUGAUGAUAUUGAUAAUUACGAGUCAUUUAUGAUUCUGAAUUUAAUACACGGAAGGAAUUGUGUAAGGACGGUUUUGUGUAAGGAGCCGCUUGUGAUAACAUUAUUAAUCAAUAUUUAUAGAGAUCUUCAUUGACACAUACCUACUUAAAAAGCUGUGUAUAUUUCUCAUAGCUCUCAAUUCUUCGAAACUAAGUCCUUAAAAAAAAAAAAAAAAAAAAAAAUGUAUAUAUUGUGCCAAUAAAGUGUAAUUGUGAAGUAUAUAAAAUAAGACAGGAUAUUAAGCAAUUGUAUAUUGUAUUGAAGAUCAAUACAAGUGUACUGACGCAGUUUAUGAAUCUAAGGCUGGAUAUUAAGAAAUUGUAUAUUGUAUUGUUAAUGUACAGUAGUCCAAGUACUGGAUAGAAAGAAGUUGUUUACUGUAAUGAGAAAUUAUAUAAGCAGAAGCAAUGUGUAAAUACUGAUUUGCACUUUGAAUUAUGAUAGUGUUAAAUUUUAACGUGUUAAUAAGGAACAUAAGUUCAGAGACUUUGUAUAAUAGAAGUUUUCUAUUGAAAUGAGAAAUGAUAUAAGUAUUUUGAUGCCAAUAUGGUGAUGUUGACUUGUACUGCUUGAAUUUGAAUGAGGUACACAAAUCCAGAGACUGGAUACAUAGGAUUCUUUAUUUAAUGAUUGAUGAUAUAAGUAUGUUGUCGUCGAUAUGUUCAUAUUGACUUGUAAUAUUGAAAUUUGAAUGUAUUGAUAAGGUAUGUGUAAGAUAAGAACGAGACGAGAGAGAGAGACGAGACUGGAUAUAAGGAAUUGUUCAUUUGAUGGGAAACUAUAUAAAUGAAUUCAUGUCAAUAUGUUGAUUUUGACUUGUAUUGCUUGAAUUUGAAUGUAUUGGUAAGGUACCUACACAAGUCCGGAGACUGGAUAUAGAGAAUUGUUUAUUUAAUGGGGAAUGAUAAAAGUAUAUUGAUGUCAAAAUGUUGAUGUUGACUUGUAAUCGUUGAAUUUGAAUGCAUUUAUAAAGAAAUAAAUCCAGAGACUGGAUAUAAAACAUGUCGACUAUUGAAAUAGGAAAUGACAUAAGUAUAUAGAUGCCAAUAUGUUGAUGUUGACUUGAAAUGGUUGAAUUUGAAUGUAUUUAUAAAGAAUAUAGAUCCAGAGACUGGAUAUAAAUAAAGUUGAUUAUUGAAAUAGGAUAUGAUAUAAGUAUAUAGAUGCCAAUAUGUUGAUGUUUACUUGUAAUGGUUGAAUUUGAAUGUAUUUAUAAAGAAAUAAAUCCAGAGACUGGAUAUAAAACAUGUCGACUAUUGAAAUAGGAAAUGACAUAAGUAUAUAGAUGCCAAUAUGUUGAUGUUGACUUGAAAUGGUUGAAUUUGAAUGUAUUUAUAAAGAAUAUAGAUCCAGAGACUGGAUAUAAAUAAAGUUGAUUAUUGAAAUAGGAUAUGAUAUAAGUAUAUAGAUGCCAAUAUGUUGAUGUUGACUUGAAAUGGUUGAAUUUGAAUGUAUUUAUAAAGAAUAUAGAUCCAGAGACUGGAUAUAAAUAAAGUUGAUUAUUGAAAUAGGAUAUGAUAUAAGUAUAUAGAUGCCAAUAUGUUGAUGUUGACUUGUCAUGGUUAAAUUUGAAUGUAUUGAUAAGGUACAUAAGUCGAGAGACUUGAUAGAAGGAUCUUGAUGUCAAUUUGUUAACAUGACUAGAAGGCGUAGAUAGCUCCAAAUAGGAGUGAAUUCCUCGUUGCAGUCACAGUGAUAGUGUGAUAGUAUGAGAUAAGAUUAACUUACUCUGUUAAACUUGAAUGUUUUGAUAAAGUAUACAAGUCCAAAUACUAGACGUGAAGUUGUUUACCGUAGUAAGAAUUUGUACAAGUAUAUGGUUGCCAAUUUGUUAAAAUGGCAAUGUACACAAGUCACAGUUUGGAUUCAAAAUGAAAUGAAAUGAAAAUAUUUGCAGAAAUUGUUUAUCGUAGUGAGAGUUUAUGCAAUUAUAUUGUUGACGAUUUGUUAGCAUGGCUGGAAGGCGUGGAUGGCUCCAGUUGGAGUGAAGGCCACGAUGCAGUCAUAGUUAGAGAUGGCUGGAAGGCGUGGAUGGCUCCAGUUGGAGUGAAGGCCACGAUGCAGUCAUAGUUAGAGAUGGCUGGAAGGCGUGGAUGGCUCCAGUUGGAGUGAAGGCCACGAUGCAGUCAUAGUUAGAGAUGGCUGGAAGGCGUGGAUGGCUCCAGUUGGAGUGAAGGCCACGAUGCAGUCAUAGUUAGAGAUGGCUGGAAGGCGUGGAUGGCUCCAGUUGGAGUGAAGGCCACGAUGCAGUCAUAGUUAGAGAUGGCUGGAAGGCGUGGAUGGCUCCAGUUGGAGUGAAGGCCACGAUGCAGUCCUAGUUAAAGAUACGACUCUGGAAGGUUGGCACGAUCGUGAAGCCUUGUUGGUGGACAUCCUCUUGGCUUUGCGGUGAGGGGUCAAAUGCAGAUGUCGUGAGUUGAGAUUGGCUGGAAGGCGUGGAUGGCUCCAGUUGGAGUGAAGGCCACGAUGCAGUCCGUCCUAGUUAAAGAUACGACUCUGGAAGGUUGGCACGAUCGUGAAGCCUUGUUGGUGGACAUCCUCUUGGCUUUGCGGUGAGGGGUCAAAUGCAGAUGUCGUGAGUUGAGAUUGGCUGGAAGGCGUGGAUGGCUCCAGUUGGAGUGAAGGCCACGAUGCAGUCCGUCCUAGUUAAAGAUACGACUCUGGAAGGUUGGCACGAUCGUGAAGCCUUGUUGGUGGACAUCCUCUUGGCUUUGCGGUGAGGGGUCAAAUGCAGAUGUCGUGAGUUGAGAUUGGCUGGAAGGCGUGGAUGGCUCCAGUUGGAGUGAAGGCCACGAUGCAGUCCGUCCUAGUUAAAGAUACGACUCUGGAAGGUUGGCACGAUCGUGAAGCCUUAUUGGUGGACAGCCUUUUGGCUUUGCGGUGAGGGGUCAAAUGCAGAUGUCGUGAGUUGAGAUUGGCUGAAAGGCGUGGAUAGCUCCAGUUGGAGUGAAGGCCACGAUACGGUCAUGAGGCCAAAUGCAAACGUCGCCAGUUAAGGCCGACUGGGUGGUGUAGAUGGGUCCAGUAAGAGUGAAGGCCACGAUACGGUCAUGAGGCCAAAUGCAAACGUCGCCAGUUAAGGCCGACUGGGUGGUGUAGAUGGGUCCAGUAAGAGUGAAGGCCACGAUACGGUCAUGACGCCAAAUGCAAACGUCGCCAGUUAAGGCCGACUGGGUGGUGUAGAUGGGUCCAGUAAGAGUGAAGGCCACGAUACGGUCAUGACGCCAAAUGCAAACGUCGCCAGUUAAGGCCGACUGGGUGGUGUAGAUGGGUCCAGUAAAAGUGAAGGCCACGAUACGGUCAUGAGGCCAAAUGCAAACGUCGCCAGUUAAGGCCGACUGGGUGGUGUAGAUGGGUCCAGUAAGAGUGAAGGCCACGAUACGGUCAUGAGGCCAAAUGCAAACGUCGCCAGUUAAGGCCGACUGGGUGGUGUAGAUGGGUCCAGUAAGAGUGAAGGCCUCGAGGCAGUCCUAGGAACGCAGCUCUGUAAAGGUGGCACAGUCAUGAAUUCUUGCUGGCGAAUAACCUCUUGACUUUGAGAAGUUUGAGGACAAACUUAGUGGUCAGAAUGGCCGAAUGUUAGACUAAUAUUAUCCUGUGACUUAUUUAUUGUUCUGUAUGUUAUAUUCUCUUUUCAUACAUUAAGGAACUAUACUAUAUUUACCGAAGUAUACUAAAUCAUUUUAGUUUUAUACGGACAACACUACCUCUACUGUGAGGACAACACUAAAAAGAGAUUUUGACAGAUAGAGCGCGCGUUUCCGAUGCGCUUCCUUCGUGGACUGAUAAACUAUGUUUUCUUACGAUUGAUAUUAAAUUGUGUUUUAAAAGUGAAUACAAGAAGUUAUUGUGAUACAA
rnacentral:lncRNA from 1 species